rnacentral:rRNA from 1 species
CUUUGACCUCGGAUCAGGUAGGGAUACCCGCUGAACUUAAGCAUAUCAAUAAG